GAUGAACGCUGGCGGCGUGCCUAAUACAUGCCAGUCGAGCGAACAGACGAGGAGCUUGCUCCUCUGACGUUAGCGGCGGACGGGUGAGUAACACGUGGAUAACCUACCUAUAAGACUGGGAUAACUUCGGGAAACCGGAGCUAAUACCGGAUAAUAUAUUGAACCGCAUGGUUCAAUAGUGAAAGACGGUUUUGCUGUCACUUAUAGAUGGAUCCGCGCCGCAUUAGCUAGUUGGUAAGGUAACGGCUUACCAAGGCAACGAUGCGUAGCCGACCUGAGAGGGUGAUCGGCCACAGUGGAACUGAGCCACGGUCCAGACUCCUACGGGAGGCAGCAGUAGGGAAUCUUCCGCAAUGGGCGAAAGCCUGACGGAGCAACGCCGCGUGAGUGAUGAAGGUCUUCGGAUCGUAAAACUCUGUUAUUAGGGAAGAACAAAUGUGUAAGUAACUAUGCACGUCUUGACGGUACCUAAUCAGAAAGCCACGGCUAACUACGUG
rnacentral:rRNA from 1 species